rnacentral:rRNA from 1 species
CCUACGGGGGGCAGCAGUGAGGAAUAUUGGUCAAUGGCCGGAAGGCUGAACCAGCCAUGCCGCGUGAAGGUCAGUGCCCUAUGGGCGUUAAACUUCUUUUGUGCGGGAGCAAUAAUGGUCACGUGUGGCCAGACGAGAGUACCGUACGAAUAAGCAUCGGCUAACUCCGUGCCAGCAGCCGCGGUAAUACGGGGGAUGCAAGCGUUAUCCGGAUUUAUUGGGUUUAAAGGGUGCGUAGGCUGUGAGGUAAGUCAGCGGGGAAAUGCCCCCGCGCAACGGGGUGAAGUGCCAUUGAUACUGCCUUGCUGGAAUGCGGAUGCCGUGGGAGGAAUGUGUGGUGUAGCGGUGAAAUGCAUAGAUAUCACACAGAACACCGAUUGCGAAGGCAUCUCACGAAUCCGCGAUUGACGCUGAUGCACGAAAGCGUGGGUAUCAAACAGGAUUAGAUACCCCAGUAGUC